rnacentral:lncRNA from 1 species
GAUGGCUGUUGAUGGAUGGCUGUCCCCUGCACACCGACAGAAACAUCUUCGGGCUAGGUUUGCCCAGCUGAACACAUGCCACAGCUGAUCCGUCUGUUGAGCAGGCCACACACCGCUGCUGAUCAAUCUUCACAUGCCAAUUAUGUGAUGUGGAGUGGGCUGGGAGGAGCAUGCACAGGUGAGGGGGGCUUGGUGCAGGGAGAAAAUCACUCUUGGGAUUCUUCUCUGUGCCCCUGCUCUCGCCUUUGUCCCUGCUAGGAGAGAGUGAGGGGACAGUGAGGGGUCCUCUCCUCCCAGCACCACACCAUCUUAUACGUAGUGCCCCACUAGACGAUGUUUGGUGCCGCCUCCAUCCACCUCUGAGGAGGGCCAGUAGAAUCCAAACAU